GAUGAACGCUGGCGGCGUGCCUAAUACAUGCAAGUAGAACGCUGAAGCUUGGUGCUUGCACCGAGCGGAGGAGUUGCGAACGGGUGAGUAACGCGUAGGUAACCUGCCUCUUAGCGGGGGAUAACUAUUGGAAACGAUAGCUAAUACCGCAUAAAAGUCGACAUUGCAUGAUGUUGACUUGAAAGGUGCAACUGCAUCACUAAGAGAUGGACCUGCGUUGUAUUAGCUAGUUGGUGAGGUAACGGCUCACCAAGGCGACGAUACAUAGCCGACCUGAGAGGGUGAUCGGCCACACUGGGACUGAGACACGGCCCAGACUCCUACGGGAGGCAGCAGUAGGGAAUCUUCGGCAAUGGACGGAAGUCUGACCGAGCAACGCCGCGUGAGUGAAGAAGGUUUUCGGAUCGUAAAGCUCUGUUGUAAGAGAAGAACGAGUGUGAGAGUGGAAAGUUCACACUGUGACGGUAACUUACCAGAAAGGGACGGCUAACUACGUGCCAGCAGCCGCGGUAAUACGUAGGUCCCGAGCGUUAUCCGGAUUUAUUGGGCGUAAAGCGAGCGCAGGCGGUUAGAUAAGUCUGAAGUUAAAGGCUGUGGCUUAACCAUAGUACGCUUUGGAAACUGUUUAACUUGAGUGCAGAAGGGGAGAGUGGAAUUCCAUGUGUAGCGGUGAAAUGCGUAGAUAUAUGGAGGAACACCGGUGGCGAAAGCGGCUCUCUGGUCUGUAACUGACGCUGAGGCUCGAAAGCGUGGGGAGCAAACAGG
rnacentral:rRNA from 1 species